ACCCUUUAAUGGCUGGUGUUCUAACGUAGACCCGUAAUCCGGGUUGCGGACAGUGUCUGGUGGGUAGUUUGACUGGGGCGGUCUCCUCCCAAAGAGUAACGGAGGAGCACGAAGGUUAGCUAAUCCUGGUCGGACAUCAGGAGGUUAGUGCAAUGGCAUAAGCUAGCUUGACUGCGAGAGUGACGGCUCGAGCAGGUGCGAAAGCAGGUCAUAGUGAUCCGGUGGUUCUGAAUGGAAGGGCCAUCGCUCAACGGAUAAAAGGUACUCCGGGGAUAACAGGCUGAUACCGCCCAAGAGUUCAUAUCGACGGCGGUGUUUGGCACCUCGAUGUCGGCUCAUCACAUCCUGGGGCUGAAGUAGGUCCCAAGGGUAUGGCUGUUCGCCAUUUAAAGUGGUACGCGAGCUGGGUUUAGAACGUCGUGAGACAGUUCGGUCCCUAUCUGCCGUGGGCGCUGGAGAAUUGAGGGGGGCUGCUCCUAGUACGAGAGGACCGGAGUGGACGCAUCACUGGUGUUCGGGUUGUCAUGCCAAUGGCACUGCCCGGUAGCUAAAUGCGGAAAAGAUAAGUGCUGAAAGCAUCUAAGCACGAAACUUGCCCCGAGAUGAGUUCUCCCUGAGACUU
rnacentral:rRNA from 1 species